rnacentral:rRNA from 1 species
GACGAACGCUGGCGGCGUGCUUAACACAUGCAAGUCGAACGGAAAGGCCCUGCUUUUGUGGGGUGCUCGAGUGGCGAACGGGUGAGUAACACGUGAGUAACCUGCCCUUGACUUUGGGAUAACUUCAGGAAACUGGGGCUAAUACCGGAUAGGAGCUCCUGCUGCAUGGUGGGGGGUGGAAAGUUUCGGCGGUUGGGGAUGGACUCGCGGCUUAUGAGUUUGUUGGUGGGGUAGUGGAUUACCAAGGCUUUGGCGGGGAGCCGGGCUGAGAGGGUGAGCGGCAUUAGUGGGGAUGUGCUACGGACACGCCUCCUACGGGAGGCAGUAGUGGGGAUUAUUGAAUAAUGGGAGGCCGGAUGAUGAGGCAACGCGGGGUGCGGGACGGCGGCCUUCGGGUAGUCACCUGCUUUUGCGUGUGACGAGGCGUGGGUGACGGUACUGGGUAAAGAAGCACCGCUAACUUAGGG